GUCUACGGCCAUACCACCCUGAACAAGCUCGAUCUCGUCUGGGUCAGGCCUGGUUAGUGCUUGGAUGGGAGACCCUCUAGGAAGACCAGGUGCUGUAGGCG
rnacentral:rRNA from 1 species